AACGAACGCUGGCGGCAGGCUUAACACAUGCAAGUCGAGCGCCCGCAAGGGAGCGGCAGACGGGUGAGUAACGCGUGGGAAUCUACCCAGUUCUACGGAAUAACCCAGGGAAACUUGGACUAAUACCGUAUACGCCCUACGGGGGAAAGAUUUAUCGGAAUUGGAUGAGCCCGCGUUGGAUUAGCUAGUUGGUGAGGUAAUGGCUCACCAAGGCGAGGAUCCAUAGCUGGUCUGAGAGGAUGAUCAGCCACACUGGGACUGAGACACGGCCCAGACUCCUACGGGAGGCAGCAGUGGGGAAUAUUGGACAAUGGGCGCAAGCCUGAUCCAGCCAUGCCGCGUGAGUGAUGAAGGCCUUAGGGUUGUAAAGCUCUUUCAGUAGGGAAGAUAAUGACGGUACCUACAGAAGAAGCCCCGGCUAACUUCGUGCCAGCCGCCGCCGUAAUAC
rnacentral:rRNA from 1 species